rnacentral:rRNA from 1 species
AUUGAACGCUGGCGGCAGGCCUAACACAUGCAAGUCGAGCGGAUGACGGGAGCUUGCUCCUUGAUUCAGCGGCGGACGGGUGAGUAAUGCCUAGGAAUCUGCCUGGUAGUGGGGGACAACGUUUCGAAAGGAACGCUAAUACCGCAUACGUCCUACGGGAGCGAGCAGGGGACCUUCGGGCCUUGCGCUAUCAGAUGAGCCUAGGUCGGAUUAGCUAGUUGGUGGGGUAAUGGCUCACCAAGGCGACGAUCCGUAACUGGUCUGAGAGGAUGAUCAGUCACACUGGAACUGAGACACGGUCCAGACUCCUACGGGAGGCAGCAGUGGGGAAUAUUGGACAAUGGGCGAAAGCCUGAUCCUGCCAUGCCGCGUGUGUGAAGAAGGUCUUCGGAUUGUAAAGCACUUUAAGUUGGGAGGAAGGGCAGUAAGCUGAUACCUUGCUGUUUUGACGUUACCGACAGAAUAAGCACCGGCUAACUCUGUGCCAGCAGCCGCGAUAAUAC